GGGCAUGAACCUCCAGUGGUCUUUACUGAAUAUCCUGGAGGUACAGAGGGGAUUCCCUUCUCUGAUUAGAAUUAGGAAUGUAAAGGGAAAAGAGAAAAAUAGAAAGCUAUGCAUAAACACGUGCAUUAAAAUGAAUUUUAUGUGGGCUUUUUCAUGAAAAUGUUCCUAAGGUAUUUUAUUUUUUUAUUGUGGUAAAAUACACAUAACAUAAAAUGUACUCGGUUAACCAUUUUAAGUGUACAGUUCAGUGGUACUAAAUAUAGUCAUAACAUUGUGCAGCCGUCCCUACCAUCCAUCUCCAUAAUUCGUUUCAUCUUGUAAAACUGAAACUCUAUACCCAUUAAACAAUACUUCCCCAUUUCUUCCUCCCCCCAGCUUCUGGCAACAAUCAUUGUACCAUCCCUAUAAUGCUAAUCAAGCAUAGUGGCUGUGUUUCUUGCUUCCUCUAGUCCGCAGGUAGCAUACAAAUGUAAUAAACUACUUAUUCAUGUCACAUCAAUUUAUUUUCUGCCUUAUACCAAGCUUGUGGGAUUCUCUUCAAUACAACAUUUUUAUACUUACACCUAUGCAAUACCCAUUAGCAUCGCCUUCCUAAAUCAGGGGAAAUUGAGCCUCUGUAAGGUGGAGUAACUCCCUAAGAUAUAAAACUCAGCAUUGAAGUCUGUAUACUUCAAUAUCCUGCCCUCUUCUCAUGUGUCUUUACUGCCUUUUAUGUAUGUGUUAGAUGUUCAACAAAUUCUCUUUCUUAAACUGAAUUUAAGCCGUGGAGCAGUGUUUUGUUGAACAAUAACUAUGAUAUAGGACACUCUUCCUCCUUUUCAUGUAUGAUCCUGUUCAUGAAAAAGAGAAAUUCUUUCAUUGUGCUAGAAGCUUAAAAUAAUGAAAAUGCCACUUUCUACAUUAAACAGAAACUGAAGGGAAUCAAGGUGAAUUGCAUGAGACAUAGAAAACAAGUGGGAAAGAAAUCUAGUAUAAUUUGCCCU
rnacentral:lncRNA from 10 species